CAUGCGCGGCCCCGCCCCCCGCCGGGCGGAUCGGUGGAUGAGAAAAUAAUAACCCACAGGGGGAAGAAAAAUGAGAGAGGAAGAAGAAACACAGAAAGUCCUGGAGAGAGGAGAGGUUGAAACGAGAAAUAUUUCAAAUUAUGAGAGUUGCAAUAGCUACUCACCCAUAACUUAAAUGAAUCUUCACCAAACCCUUUGGAAGAGAUGGUAAUGUGAAGUCUCAUGCACCCUACAGCAUGAAAAGGACCUCAAAGAACUAAGGGAGACUGAGGCCUCGACCCGAGCAGUGAAGAGAGGAGUAACAUCCCUGAGGAGAUUACGUAUGUAGCGUGAUUAAUCUUCAUUAACAAAGACUUUGGAGUAUCUCCUGGGUGUUGGCUGGGCAUUUUAUUAGGCGAUACUAAUUCCUUGUUCCGUAGAUGCCAGCACUCUUAGGGAGUGUAAUAAAUGUUAAAUAAAAAUAAGUAAUGAAUGUCCUCAGAGCUCAAGAGGAGAGCACUGGCUUCUGAACAGCCCUUGAAUAUCUUUACUGCCUUUUUACAAAUCCACGUGUUUUUUUCUGGGAGGGAUUAUUUUUUCAUCAGCAAACGGCCGUGGCUUCGUUAAGCAGAUGUCCUCUAAUCUGUGUCCCAUUUUUCUAUUUGAUAAUGACUUUGAUGAAACUGUCAUUUAUAAUAAUGA